ACUGCCAUAUCAUGCUGAAACACUGGUUCUCGUAUAAUCAUUGAAGUGAAGCAAGGUUGAGCUUGGUCAGUAUUUAGAUGGGUGACCACUUGGGAA